AACGAACGCUGGCGGCAUGCCUAACACAUGCAAGUCGAACGAGACCUUCGGGUCUAGUGGCGCACGGGUGCGUAACGCGUGGGAAUCUGCCCUUGGGUUCGGAAUAACAGUUAGAAAUGACUGCUAAUACCGGAUAAUGUCUUCGGACCAAAGAUUUAUCGCCCAGGGAUGAGCCCGCGUAGGAUUAGCUAGUUGGUGAGGUAAAGGCUCACCAAGGCGACGAUCCUUAGCUGGUCUGAGAGGAUGAUCAGCCACACUGGGACUGAGACACGGCCCAGACUCCUACGGGAGGCAGCAGUGGGGAAUAUUGGGACAAUGGGCGAAAGCCUGAUCCAGCAAUGCCGCGUGAGUGAUGAAGGCCUUAGGGUUGUAAAGCCCUUUCGGCGGGGACGAUGAUGACGGUACCCGCAGAAGAAGCCCCGGCUAACUUCGUGCCAGCAGCCGCGGUAAU
rnacentral:rRNA from 1 species